rnacentral:lncRNA from 1 species
UGAUGUUCUUCAUGACGGCGUCGUGGAUUCGGCGUGAUUGACGACGGUUCGUGGAUUCGGAUCGUAAGCUUCGUGGAUUCGGAGUGGAGGCGUUUCGUGGAUUCGGAACGUGGUGUUCGUGGAUUCGAACGUGAGGGCGUGGACAACCCGGAGGAUUGUGCGAGAUUCAUAGGAGGUUAAGAGAGGUCGAGUCCGUGGAGUUGGUAAUCA